rnacentral:rRNA from 1 species
AGUGAACGCUGGCGGUAGGCCUAACACAUGCAAGUCGAACGGCAGCACAGUAAAAGCUUGCUCUUACGGGUGGCGAGUGGCGGACGGGUGAGGAAUACAUCGGAAUCUACUUUUUCGUGGGGUAUAACGUAGGGAAACUUACGCUAAUACCGCAUACGACCUACGGGUGAAAGCAGGGGAUCUUCGGCCCUUGCGCGCUUGUAUGAGCCGAUGUCGGAUUAGCUAGUUGGCGGGGUAAAGGCCCACCAAGGCGACGAUCCGUAGCUGGUCUGAGAGGAUGAUCAGCCACACUGGAACUGAGACACGGUCCAGACUCCUACGGGAGGCAGCAGUGGGGAAUAUUGGACAAUGGGCGCAAGCCUGAUCCAGCCAUACCGCGUGGGUGAAGAAGGCCUUCGGGUUGUAAAGCACUUUUGUUGGGAAAGAAAAGCAGAAGGUUAAUACCCCGCUGUUCUGACGGUACCCAAAGAAUAAGCACCGGCUAACUUCGUG